AAGCUGACGAGUCCCAAACUGGACGAAACGCGCGUCCUGACU
rnacentral:hammerhead_ribozyme from 1 species